rnacentral:rRNA from 1 species
UACGUAGGGUGCGAGCGUUGUUCGGAUUCAUUGGGCGUAAAGGGUGCGUAGGCGGCGCGGUAAGUCGGGUGUGAAAUCUCGGAGCUUAACUCCGAAACUGCAUUCGAUACUGCCGUGCUUGAGGACUGGAGAGGAGACUGGAAUUUACGGUGUAGCGGUGAAAUGCGUAGAUAUCGUAAGGAAGACCAGUGGCGAAGGCGGGUCUCCUGGGACAGUUCCUG